UGUACCAAGCAAUACAAGCUUAUCGAUUGCUUACUUCUCUUCUUUCUCUAUAGCAUCUUUUCUUGUUUAUUUUCUUGAGAUCUCGGUUUAGUAAUUUUUUCUAGUGUCGGUGUUCGAUCCUGAGGUGUCCGGUGUUCAACAUUUAGUGUGUUCUAAUCAAUGUAUGAGCGAUUGAUCGAAAUGUUACUUUUUGGGAGGACCCUUUAAUAUUUAAAUCUGAGAAGUUUUGGGGUUCGAACAUGGACAUACGAGGACAAAAUUUUGAAUUGAUUCCGUUAAGUGAUGGUCGAAGAAUAUGUCCUGGUUAUCCACUAGGAUUGAGAAUGAUUCCUCUAAUACUGGGCUCACUUUUAAAUUCCUUCAAUUGGAAGUUUGAGGCAGAUACCAAAGACUUAAGACAUGGAGGAGAAGUUUGGUCUCAGCUUAGCCAAAGCUCAUCCUCUGCAAGCUAUUCCAUCUCUGCUUUGAGUUUGUGUGGCCAUUAAAUAUUUAUCUUUAUUCGAUAUUUAUAUUGAAUCAAUCAGAAGUGAAUCCAGGAUCCGAACUCACUUGGUGCCAAAUAAUUUUUCAAUAUAACUUACGGAGAGCAAUCAGAGAGAGAGAGAGCAAGCAGCAACAGCACUGUAGCAGCAACCGGAAACCUCAAGAACAAGAGUCUCAGUCGAUGUUUUGAUUUGGAAUUUAGAAAUAUAUUUUUUUUUAAUUUGGAAAUAGGAAUUUGGCUUUAAUGAAAAAUUAUUAACAAAA